GUGCUGGAGGGAGGGAGAUGGGAAGCUGAGGAUGCGGAAUGGCAAAUGAAUGGUUAAACAGAAAACAAAGCAGCUGCUGUGCUGGACCUGAGCCUGGUGCUGGGUGCACCACAGUGAGCAGCAGCUUGGCUGUGGAGCCACUGACUGCACCCUCUGUCCUGUUCUGGGUCAGUCCAGCUCAGGAAAUGCUGACUUCAGAGCAGUUCCCACACAUCCCUCGUCGCGUCAUCCACUUCUGCUGUGACUGAUUUACCCAGGGACCAAAUUUUGUCCAGCAAACCAUCUGAACUUUGUGAAAGACUAAUUCUUUCUUCCCCGUGAGGGUGGUGAGGCCCUGGAAUGGAUUGCCCAGAGAAGCUGUGGCUGCCCCAUCCCUGGAAGCAUUCCAGCUGGAUGGGACCCUGAGGAGCCUGGUCUGAAGGAACACAUCCCUGCCCAUAGCAGGGGUUUGGAACAAGAUGAUGUCUGAAGUCUGUGAUUCUAUGGUCCUCUGAUGCAGGAGAACCACCUCCUUCAGAAAGAGUCGGUGACUUCAGCACCUUGUUCCAGACUUCCAUGAUCCUUCUGCUGUGAGUUCCCUGCUCUGCCUUCUCUUCCCACCCUUCCAUGAAAGGCAUCUUCAUACCUAUUAUAGCAAAACUGUAUUACAAAGGCUGCAAAGAAGCCCACCACACCUGAACAGGCCUUCUGACUGAGGCCCUGAACUGCUCACUGAUGGAGGUAAGAAAGGAAACUCAGGUCUGGGGAGAAAAGAAUAGGUUCACAGAGGGAUCAAGCUUAGCACCUUCGGGGUGGAGACCACAGCUCCAGGGCUAUCAGCUGCCAGGCUGGCACAGAGCCUCACACCAAAGCAGGGGAGGAGGGGAGGUCUUGGGUGUGUGGUGAAAAAGCCUCUGGUGAGACACGGCCCAUCCUCUGCUGUGCACAGCUCAGCUGUGGGGCUCUUCACCCCAGAAAAAAGCUGAACCCACAUGAAGGACAGCAGAGGGAGGGGCAAGGCCCAUCAAAGCCCCCCCCAAAGGGGUUUUCAGACCCUGCACCAGAGAUGAGGCAAUAGAUCCACUGUGUUGCAAGGGACAGUGUCAAACUUGCCCUCCCCAGGGGAGGCACGUGGGCCUCCAAUGUAUUCUAUACUCUGUGGUGUGGCACGGCAGUGGCAGGGGACCCUCACCACCAAGAAAACCAGAUGGAGGGGAGCCUUCCUUUCCUUCCUUUCUUUUUUCUCUUCUUCCUCUCUUUUUUCUCUCUUUCUCUUUGCC